UAUCCCCAAAGCUGGAAGCCCUAAAAUUGAAGUGGAGAAAUAAGCUGCUCCACUUCAUCUCCGACCUCACGAGCACCGAAGCUAAGCAUUGACUGUUCAGGCGACCACUCUAGCAUUCUCUUCUCCUACCACUCUAGCAGCUGAUUCCUUUUCCCACCGAGCAGCUUUACUCUCUUCUACAGUCCAUUCGAUAGUUAUCUUACCCACACACGCUAGUUUGGUCACAGCAUACGAGAGUAUGGAAGACCUGAAUGAAGACCUUCACGUGCUGUCCGAUAAUGAGAUAGUUGGGGACAAAUCAACAUUGUGGACAAAGAACCAUUAGGAGAAGAUAGAGAGAUUGUUUCAGAGGUAGGUAUAAUAUUCGAUGAGUAAAAAGAGUUGUUUGAUUUCUACAAGAGCUAUGCUUAUGUUGUCGGAUUUUCCAUGAGGAAAAGGAAUUUGAAAAAGGGUAACGAUGGACUUGUUAGAUAUGUCAUGUUUACAUGUAGUCAUAAAGGCCGAAGAGGCAGUAACACAAGCAUGACUUUGAAGCCACAACCAACUAGUCAAACAAAUUGUAAAACGAGGAUAUAUGCAUCUGUUGAUAAUCUUGGAAAAUGGAGAAUUAACACCAUCCAUCUCGAGUAAUAUCAUAAAACAAGUCCUUCCAAAUCUAGGUUGUUUCGAUGCAACAGAGAAUUGACUGCAAAUGCGAAGAGAAAGCUUGAAUUGAAUGAUUUGGCAGGAAUUUCAUUGCAUAAAAGUUACAACUUUGCACUUGUGGAAGCAGGUGGGUAUGAGAAUACGACUUAUAUUGAAAAGGAUUGUAGAAACUAUAUUGAACAAGUGAGACGGUUACGACUUGGAGAUGAGAUGCCGCAGCUUUACAAUCCUACUUUUCAAAGAUGAAAGCACGGUGUUUGGGAUUUUUAUUUCAAUAUGGGUUUGGAUGAUGAGUCACGGCUUCGAAAUAUAUUUUGGGCAGAUAAUAGGUCUAGGCAAGCGUACAAGGAGUUUGGCUAUAUUGUUACCUUUGACACCACAUAUCUUACAAAUAAGUACGACAUGUCGUUUGCCCCUUUUGUCAGAGUUAACCACCAUGGACAAUCAAUACUGCUUGAUUGUGAUUUGUUGUCAAAUAAGGAUACAUGCAUAUUUGUGUGGUUGUUUAGGAUAUGGUUCCAGUGCAUGCAUGCCCAACCUCUCCACAGAAUAAUUACAAAUCAAGAUAAAGCCAAGCAAAAUGCGAUUUGAAAUUGUUUUCCCAAAUACAAAAUAUAGAUGGUGUUUGUGGCACAUUAUGAAGAAGUUCCCAGAAAAAUUUAGCUAUUAUGUUGAUAAAGGUUCGAUAUUCUCAUCUAUACAUGGACUGGUAUAUGACUCCUAGAGUAUUGAUGAAUUCAAAGAAUGUUAGAGAGUGAUGGUUGGUAGAUUUGACUUACAGGAUAACGAUUGGCUGUCAGGCUUGUACGAUAAUAGAAGUUGUUGGGUACCAUGCAUUCUUAAGACAAUGUUCUCAACAAGGAUGUCUACAACACAACGAAGUGAGUGUGUGAAUGUGUUCUUUGAUGGAUAUGUACAUUCGAAAACCUCAUUAAAACAGUUUGUCGAACGGUACAAAAGAACCCUUAGGAACAAGGUCGAGAAAGAGUUCCAGGCUAAUUUCAAGUUAGGCUCGCAAAUGGUACCGUGUGCAACUGCCUUCGAAAUGGAAAAGUAAUUUCAAACAGUUUAUACAAUUUCCAAGUUCAAGAAAGUACAAGAUGAGUUCAUAGGAAAGGUGUAUUACGACGUCAUUUCAGUUUCAAAUGGAUGUUUCGAGGUGAAGUAUGACGUUCGGGAAUCUGUCGUAUGUAGCGAGGGCAGGGGGAAGAAAACAUAUUUUAUCUCGUUUUGACCGAACACAAGUGAAGUUAUUUGCAACAGCCAUCUGUUUGAGUUUCAAGGAAUUAUUUGUCGACAUGCGAUUAGUAUUAGACCGUAAUGACAUCACAACAAUGUCGAAUAGGUAUAGUGAGAAGAUGGAGGAGAGACGUUAGUCGUGCACGCACAAGAGUCGUAGUGAAUUAUGACGGGUUAGCUAGUACUCUAGAACAGAUUCUAUAUGAUGGCAUGUGUUAGACAUUUUCGGAGUUGGCGGACCACGCUGCAAACAAUGAAGGGCGCGACACGUGCGAUAAAGGAUUGGACAAAAUCUCAAGCUACAGAACUGAGGUCUUCAAGGUCGAGUAGUGGUAGUAAUGUUCUUUCCCAACCAACUACGCAUUUACAAAGACAAUGUACUAAUUCAAAAAAUACUGUCAGCGUGAGCGUGUUAGAUCAUAAAUCAUCAAAUAGAAAGGACGCGCCAAGGAAGCUUUGAAGAAAAAGCCCGUUGGAGUCAACUUCAAAGAAAGCAAAGGCUACUUCGACUAAAUGCAAGGGAAAAAGACCAGCACUUGGUCAUGCUGAUAUGGAAGAGGAUGCAUCCGUCCUUCAAGAAUCUGAACAACUUCAAUAUUCUCAGCCGACCCCAUUUUCAUAUUCACAAUUGUUGUUUGUGAUGUCGGAAGCCAAGUGUUUAGCCAACAAUUACCGUCGUCUACUAACGUCAUAUUCAAUUCCCAAGCUACUUCAGGUCCAUGCUUUGAUCAGAUUGUUUCCCAAGACCAUUCCACAUUGCAGACGACCUCGCCCCAUAAUCAACCAGUGAUUUCAAAUCACAAGGAUGACGAAAUCUCAUAUGGCAGUUGAUUGGGCAGGAGUGGUUGAAGUAUUAUCAUCCCAUGUGGUGUUUUCAAAUCAUAAACAUGAGUAGAACUCCAUUUUAUGUCAUUCGUAUGUAGUAGUUAAUCUUCAUGUGUAUUGAUAAACAUUAUCGAUGAACAUAUGGAAUGUUUCUGUCGUUAUAUAUAUUAUUAUUCAUCUUCA